rnacentral:rRNA from 1 species
AUUGAACGCUGGCGGCAGGCCUAACACAUGCAAGUCGAACGGUAACAGGAAGAAGCUUGCUUCUUUGCUGACGAGUGGCGGACGGGUGAGUAAUGUCUGGGAAACUGCCUGAUGGAGGGGGAUAACUACUGGAAACGGUAGCUAAUACCGCAUAACGUCGCAAGACCAAAGAGGGGGACCUUCGGGCCUCUUGCCAUCGGAUGUGCCCAGAUGGGAUUAGCUAGUAGGUGGGGUAACGGCUCACCUAGGCGACGAUCCCUAGCUGGUCUGAGAGGAGGACCAGCCACACUGGAACUGAGCCACGGUCCAGGCUCCUACGGGAGGCAGCAGUGGGGAAUAUUGCACAAUGGGCGCAAGCCUGAUGCAGCCAUGCCGCGUGUAUGAAGAAGGCCUUCGGGUUGUAAAGUACUUUCAGCGGGGAGGAAGGGAGUAAAGUUAAUACCUUUACUCAUUGACGUUACCCGCAGAAGAAGCACCGGCUAACUCCGUG